rnacentral:rRNA from 1 species
UUGGUCAAUGGGUGCAAGCCUGAACCAGCCAUCCCGCGUGAAGGACGACUGCCCUAUGGGUUGUAAACUUCUUUUGUAUAGGGAUAAACCUACCCUCGUGAGGGUAGCUGAAGGUACUAUACGAAUAAGCACCGGCUAACUCCGUGCCAGCAGCCGCGGUAAUACGGAGGGUGCAAGCGUUAUCCGGAUUUAUUGGGUUUAAAGGGUCCGUCGGCGGACUUAUAAGUCAGUGGUGAAAGCCUGUCGCUUAACGAUAGAGCUGCCAUUGAUACUAUAAGUCUUGAGUGUAUUCGAGGUAGCUGUAAUAAAUAGUGUGGCGAUGAAGUGCAUAGACAUUACUUAGAACACCAAUUGCGAAGUCAGGUUACCAAGAAAUAACUGACGCGGAGGGACGAA